GAAGAUACUGAGCAACAUCUCACAGGGGCAGCUUGGUUCUCCUCCUAUACAAAGAAUAGAUGGAAUAAUUAUGGAAAAGCAGUUCUGCUCCUUUAAAAUAUACAAAUGACUGGUAAGACUGCCAGCAGGACUUAGCUUUGGGAAUAUGGUCUCAAUCCAAAUGAAGCCGGGAAGGAGAAUGGGCGAGAUGCAAUAACAUUAUCUUCAACAGAAGUCACAGGACGAAACAGAGCCAUCUGCCAAAAGAACAGCUACGGACCAUAAAGAAGCACAUUUCUGCUCCACUGGAGAGAGCACUCUGCAUAAUUCACACCUCAUGCAGACCCCAGCCAUCCUCCCCUUCCCAAUAAAACUGCAUUUGCAAGGA